GAUGAUUUAUUUUUCGUCUCUGCCAUUAAAUUGAUGAAACAAUAAUUUCCUGAAAUUUAAUGACAAAUAAUUAUUUCAUUUAUUGAUGGGCCAUUUAAAUAAUUCAGUUCAAUAAUUUCAGAAUGAUCCGUGAUGGAAAGUGCCUCUCCAUGUCGAAUUACAGGCGUCUUAAAUGUCACAAGAUUUCUAAUAAAAUGAAUUCUUUCUCUGGUUAACUGAAGGAGUAGUAGUAGACUCAGACUUACAAAUGUUAAUACAAUUAAAUUCUACAUAAACUCCUUAAAUGAAUAUGAGGUUUUGUUCCAAUAAGUAUUUUCCCUGUGUAUUAGUACUAUUUUCUUCCUGCUAUACUGGGUUACUGGGUCAAUACUUAGUAAAGAAAAUUAAAUUUAAAAAAAAAUUAAGUUCUACAACCAUGAUGUCAAACUUACUCAACUCGCUUCUAGAGGCCAUGAAGAGAACUGUUAAGGAACGCAUAAAAAUAUAUUUCUUAUAUAAUUUAAUUAUGUUGUAAUUAGAAUAAAUCGUAACAUGUUAACAUUUCGUACAGUUUCAGUCUCGGAAGCGAAUGUAUUCGAUCAUUGAAUCUCCCGUUAUACAAGACCGUAAUUUACAACUGUAAUGUCAGUCUUUUCUCUAGAUGCCAGAUUCCUAAGCUUCAAUAAUAGUCUUGAAUCUACAUAUAUUAUUUUACUCAACGAAGGUGUCAAAGGCAAAGUCUAUAUUAAGGAUUUACGAAAUAAAUCCCGUUUCGUAUACAUAUUUGCAGCUAUAAUAACAAGGAUCUACGAUAUGUCUACCCUUUUUGUAUAUAUAUGACAUUAGCAGAGGAAUUUUUAUACAAAGUCUAUAUUAAGGAUUUACGAAAUAAAUCCCGUUUCGUAUACAUAUUUGCAGCUAUAAUAACAAGGAUCUACGAUAUGUCUACCCUUUUUGUAUAUAUAUGACAUUAGCAGAGGAAUUUUUAUACAAAGUCUAUAAUAAGGAUUUACGAAAUGUACCCCGUUUUGUAUAUAUGCCAGAUGUCCAAGCUACAACUAUCACAUGUAUUGAACUUGUAUCACUUUAGCAGAGGAACUUUUAUACAAAGGUGAUCAAUCAUUUAAGUUUGCUUGACAUAUUAAUUAAGAUGUUCAACUGUGAUGACAAACGUACUCAGCCAUGAAGAGAACUGUUCUGUAACUAACGUAUAAAAUAAAUUGCUUAUUAAAAUUGUCUAAAUACUACGGUUUUUUUCAGUGUGUAUAAAUAUUGAAAAUUGUAUUUGAAAUAUUUUUGGGAAGUGAAUAAAAUAUUUAAAACUAAAAUAAAA